rnacentral:rRNA from 1 species
GUACGGGAGGCAGCAGUGGGGAAUAUUGGACAAUGGGCGCAAGCCUGAUCCAGCCAUGCCGCAUGAGUGAUGAAGGCCUUCGGGUUGUAAAGCUCUUUUGGCGGGGACGAUGAUGACGGUACCCGCAGAAUAAGCCCCGGCAAACUUCGUGCCAGCAGCCGCGGUAAGACGAAGGGGGCAAGCGUUGUUCGGAAUUACUGGGCGUAAAGGGCGCGUAGGCGGUUCUUUAAGUCAGGCGUGAAAGCCCUGGGCUCAACCUGGGAGUGGCGCUUGAUACUGGGGGACUAGAGAGUGGGAGAGGUUGGUGGAAUUCCCAGUGUAGAGGUGAAAUUCGUAGAUAUUGGGAAGAACACCGGUGGCGAAGGCGGCCAACUGGACCAUUUCUGACGCUGAGGCGCGAAAGCGUGGGGAGCAAACAGGAUUAGAUACCCCAGUAGUCCU